CGGCGAUGGUGCUGGUAGUGAUGAGCGUGCCUAAACUCCACUCGCGCCCAAAGUGUCGCCCUCUUUAUUCUCAGUGGCUCGAGUGCCGGAUCCCCGCUCGAUUGCGGGAACUCCAAUAACGGCUGACCGUUCAGUGUACGCCCUGAUAACAAACAAAGCUCUCAUUUACUUUGAUGAUUCUCAACUGUCUAGCAGCACAAAAUUUAUCACUGCAGGGCGUAAAAGGUCAAUUUUUCCUCAAUUUCAGUUCGAUUUCAACUCGAAAUUCUCUUUUAAUGAGAUUUUGGAAAAGCUGCUUCUUCCAGUCGUGACGUUGCGAUCCGUGGGACCAAGAAAACGUGGAAUGGCAUUCGGACUGGUUUUCGAGAGGGGAAGAAAUUUCGUCCCAAAGUUGGGCUCCAUCGGGCACAGGCGUGGUUCUCGAAGCUGCUGGCUCCGAAACGCCAGCACGCAGCGGAUAGAGAAGCAUCCCCGCGCGGGGGUUCCGAGUGUGUAAGAAUGUCGCACGAGCGUGUGCGUGUGCGCGUCUCCCGCGUCGCUAUACACCGGCUCGUAAAACAGCACGUAUCGUCAACGACGCCGACGACGGAGACGACGAUUCUCAGCGCAGCGAGAAUCGUUACACUUGCAGGUUUUGUCAACACCGAUUUCAACAGCGUUUCUACAAUCGCCUUGCCUUUCGACGGAAUCCAUUCAAGUUCGAGUCGAUCUCGUUGCCGUCAGUUAUUCGCGCACACUGGAAACGAACUUUUGUCAAUGUACUCAAGAUUUCUUGAGUCGAUGGGGAAUUUCAUGGGACUUUCAAUACUCAAAACCACGUUCUCCGAGCCUGGAGAAGGUUCUACUAGGGGAUGAAGAUACACGAGCUAAAACAUACACGGGCGAGCAGGGGUGCAGCGUCCGCGAUCGGUCUCGUAAAAGAGAUAGAAUACAUGUAAAAGAGGGCGGCUUCAUCCCAUAACGGUUUGGUUUGGAUGAGCAGAACAAUUCCGGAUUGACGAUGGAUGCGAAAAGAAGCAAACGAGUUCGAAUCCAGCCAGUAUUUUGGUAUCUGAAUAAAAUGGACUCGAGCAUAAUUCAGUGACGAAUAAGCUGCUGCUCAAUUUCAGAGCGAUUGUUUCGAACGAUUGGGAUUUUGGGGAUCAGAAGAUCCUUCGAUUUCGUUCGAUCAACACGCUCGCGAGCGGUUCCCAAGGACGCGAGCGAUCGUUCAACCAUACCCCCGAGACCGUUCUUUAUGCCGUUCUUCAUCGAUUGACGAUUCUCCUCGCGGUGGAAGAGCACACGUGCUUCCUACCCCGGGGCAAAUGCAAGGACAGCGACGAAGGCGAGUGGAAAUUCGACUUUGGGAAGGUGACGAUCACUGCUGGAGAACACAAGUUUAUUGAUGAGGAGGGUUUAUUUAACGGUUCGUCGAUAAAUUCCACUGUUCCCGGUGAGUGGCGAACCGUUUUUGUAUCCGGGAGGAAAUGAUUGAUGGAGGGAAUAACAACCCUUGCAAGAAGAGAUUCAAACGGCACAGUUUCGAAAUUGACGCAUAAAGUCAGCGACGAAUUAUCAAUCUAAUGUAGCACUGGACGAAAGUGUCGCGUGAGGGAAAAAAAUUGUGGCGUUUCGAAAGCUGAACAGGGGGGCGGGAGAAACAAUUCUCUUUAUCACGAAACUUCUGUCAGAAAGAGGAAUAAGGCUCGAGGGACUUGUGAAAGUCCGAAAAAGAAAAGGAACCAGCAUCGGGAGACAGACGGAUAGAACAUCCGUUAGAACGGACCGUUCGCAGUUACCGGGCACAUCGAUAUCCGGGCAACCGGAAAUAUAUUUAUUUUAUUCUUCCUCGUUAUCGGAAUAACGAAUUUUACCUAAUAAAGGGAAGAGGAAGAUAGGAGACGCGCGCACGCGCGCGCGAGGGUUCGAAUGAUGAGGACGAAUGAACAGCCGAUUGGUGGAUCCUCGUGAUUGGUCGCUCCAUUUGCCAAACGAAUUUCCUGCUUGCCUUCUUUCUUUAUGCUUAAUACUUUCUCAAUUUCAUGUCCUCCCCUUCAUCUAAUCUCCCAACUUUAUCCUUAAAAUAUUUGUGCUAAUGGAAAUAAAUUCAUGACGUUACAUCGCUCUAUCGUAAUGUCGAUCUUCCUUGUACAUCAGCCAAUUCGUACGAAACGAGCAUUUCGAAACGCAGAUUUUCAGGCUCGAGUAUAGUUUACUUGAUUUCAAGAUGGAAGGGAGGCGAGAGAGAACUCGUUUUUUCAAUCCAGAACCUUGAAUUUUCAUUUGCCAAAAAGAAGUCGAAAGUUUAAUUAUUCUACAGUCAAGAAACGAUGCUAAAUUUUUUUGAAUAUCUGAAAUUCCCAUUUUCUUCCUUCACUAAACUAAAAAUAUUGUUGCAGACGAUUCAACUGAAUGGCUGAAAUCGAAUGAUUUUGAUCGAGCCCCUAAGACGAUUCAUUGACUUCCGCAUACUUCGAAGAGGCUCCAGUGAAAGAUUGCUCCAAAUAUCAACUAUCGAAUCCUUCGUCCGAUAACCUUGAGGCUGGAUCAACCAAUGACAUUACAAUAAAAUUUCACAACGUCGUUACCAAUGAUUUGUUUGGCUGUUCAGGACUCAAAUCACUCGAACGUGGAUCGUCGUGCCAAUGAAACAUCUUUCGGUCACUCCAGUCGCUCCAAAUGCUUUAAUGCUACGUCGAGGAAACAUCAAAUUUCGUGUCUUUUUCAUAUCUCGUUCUUCGAGCAAAUGAUGGAUCACUCGUCCAAGAGGAAAAAUUAUUCCAGAAAUACGAGGAAAAGGAGAGUUGAAGGAAGUUAAAAAGACGAGGGACAUAGACUAACUUCUCGUAAUCGACGAGACGCAAUCGUGAAAGAGUAUCGUAAAUUUUCGUGUGGCGCAUCAAGAGGCUCGAGACGGCGUGCGGAGCAUCGGCUUAUAUGGGAGGGCGGGAGCAGGGGCCGGGGGAGGAGGGCUCGUCGCCAAGUCGUCCAUUUAAACACAUAGUGGUACGAACGGCCAGUACUGUCGAGAUAAAGAUUCGCGGUAGCCAAAGAAGAGAAGAGGAAGGAAAAGGGAUGAAGAGCGAGCAAGAGAGGGAGAGAGAGAGAACGAAGGAAUAGGGGGAAGAGAAGAAACGAGAGACGGAAAGAUUCCACUAUUUUCUGAGGAGUAAAAAAGAGUGGGAUUCGCAGCGCUCGUACGGUAUUAUUCACAAACGGUGCUAAGUGAAAUAACAAAAAAAUGAAAAAACAUUUACAAGCCAGAUACAAUCUGCGGACUUCCAUGCAACAAGAUUUCCCCAGACUUUUUGAAGUUUGAGAAGCUUUUCCCCCUUUUUGUCUCAAAUACCAUUUUCCCUCGGGGCUUUUCUUUCCCCUGAAGUACGUCGUGAAAUAGUCGAAGUUUCGAAUCUGCCAUUCAAUUUUUGCACAUUUUACACACAAAUUUGAAUUUCAAUCAUUUCGAUUGUAUUCUUUCGGGUUUUUUCAUAAACGAGCACGAUGGUCGCAUGGAAGAAAUACACAAGCCCUGCCGGAAUAGGUCUCUCGACAAAAACUUGGGCUCUCAGACCACUAAAAGGCCACAUUCACGUGGCACCUGUUAGAUUUGAUUGUCCGCAAGGGAGGCACCUGUUAGACAUGCGCACUGUGUUCCUAGAUACGCGUGUACGACGGGUACCCAUGAAAACUUGAGCGGGGAUUUGGGUGGGAAGAACGAUUGUAUUGUAAGUUUUGGAAAAAAUUGAGAAAAUAUGAAAAUUUUGAAAUUUUGACUGACAACAAAAUUUUGUGGGCCAGACACUUAUUUUAGCUUCUCUCAAAAAAAGUAUGUGGUUGCGUCCGGGCGACAAAAUAUUAAGGAGAUAAAACUAUGUUUGCAUGAUUCGGGUAAAAAAGUGGAAUCACUUGCUAUUUGAAAAGAGAGAGUGGUUGGGUCUAAAAAAUGUUCAGGCAACAAAGUUCACUUACAUCAAUGGAAAAUAUUUAUCAGAGAAAAAUAUUUGCUCUCAGUGAGAAUUCAUCGUGUUUUUGUUGAGGAAUAAAAUCGACUCGACAGUCUCUAACUUUUGUGUUAUGAAAUACGCAUAGCUCGAAAUACGAAGAGAAAGGAAGGGCAGAAACGCACGCGAUUGAAGUACGAUAAUAUUCUGAACUUCAAAGAAAAUGAAGAGAAUAAAUGUGCCGCGAUAAAAUAGUGAUCGAGGAAAGUGUAAGAUGAUUUCUCGAGGCUCUUUGGAUAAGGGCGUCAGUAAAAUGGAAGGGCGAAAAGGGAAAAUAGGUUGAUGGUAGUUUGCAGAGAUAAUUCCGCAGGAGAAACGAUCGGAAAGUUUGAAUUUCGCAGUUCAAUGACGAGGAGUAAUUUCCAAAGGGUUGGUGAGAGUAUCGCCAAGGUUCGUCCGAGCGGAGAACCAUAAAGAAAUUGCUAAGUGGUUAAACGGCUCGGAGUCCUUGAAUUCCCAAGAGUCUGCGAAGCUCCUUUUAUAUUUUCGAGAGCCCCGAGACUCGUAGAGAGGUUCCAACAUUCGCAGAAUUCCACGGUUGACAAAGUGUUUUUUUGGAAACCUUACCAAAACGAUAUUUCACGGAAUUUCGUUUGAGCAAUAUUCCUUAAAAAUUGAUGGAAAAUAAUGCUCGAGGAUGUUAAAAAACGGACUGAAAGAACCCGAAAACGAUGCUUCGGAAUCGACUUGCCCCCAAACCACUAAAUUUUCUACAAUUCUUUUGCCACCGUUGUUUGUGCCCACGAAAUAUUCGAGAGAAAACGGUGACGGUAAGAAGAAGGAGUUCGAGAAAGGAAAACCGUCGAAUGAAAAUUGUUGAUUCAAGGAUUUUUCUAUCCGGUGCGAUCUUAUUGUCCUCUCGAAGGGUGGCUGGGUCAGGGAACCUUGACCUGUCACUUUCAUCCCUCCGCAUUUUUAUUCCUCCCUCGACAUCGUCUACCCUCUCGGGCUUUGUACGCCUGUCCCCAAUCGUCAAUUCAUUCGACAUUCCUCUCGCAAUGCGGGCAAACUUUCUUUUCCGAUCGUGUAUUGAAGCGUCUCCGAGGCGUCCUUCUGGCACCGUCUCAGGGCGGUUGCGUAAAAUAUAAUUACUCUCAAUCUCUCUCGCUCUCCCUUCUCGUGUGCCACGCUCGUUUGGCUCUCCGAACAAAGCGUUACGACUGCUCAUCGAGUCCCCCGUACACAGUCGCCAACGUAUCCUUGUCCUUCUUCGAUUUUAUUUAGCCCAUUUGCACAGUCGUCACCUCGUCUUGACGUUGAGACGUUUCCAAGGAUUUCUCUGGGUUGGAGGGUCGUCGAUGAGAUCCGACGACGAAAGGACCUCGACUCCGGUGCUGUUCGGGUCGUCAUUUCAUUUUGAAGCAAGAGGAUCUUCUUUAUUAUUGAAAAUAAGAGUUUUUCCACUGCAGGGAGAUUAAGAGAGUUUCUUUGUAAUUUCGAAAGCUCGAUGUAAAAAGCAGCUUAUUCAAAUGCAGGUUUAUAAUGAUUUUAUUCAAUCUUA
rnacentral:lncRNA from 1 species